UACGAAGGGGGCUAGCGUUGCUCGGAAUGACUGGGCGUAAAGGGCGCGUAGGCGGAUGGCUUUGUCGGGCGUGAAAUUCCAGGGCUCAACCUUGGGGCUGCGUUCGAGACGGGCGAUCUUUGAGUUCGGAAGAGGGUCGUGGAAUUCCCAGUGUAGAGGUGAAAUUCGUAGAUAUUGGGAAGAACACCGGUGGCGAGGCGGC
rnacentral:rRNA from 1 species